rnacentral:lncRNA from 1 species
AGGGAUGCACUGGGAGGCAGGUGCCCUCAUACUUUUAUACUUACAAUCUGUCUCCCCAGCUUCUCAGUCGUCCAACCUGGAACUGCAAACAUCCACCAUGGUCCUUGUCUUCUGACAGGUUCAAGUCUGUCUCUCCUCUUCUCCCACCUGAGCCAGAGAGGCAUGCACCAGGAAAAAAAAAUCAGGAAGGCACCUAGGGGCCUCUGAAUGGAUGCCUGUCACUGCUCAGUACCCAGCAUUCUCUUGGUCAGGAAUGAAGCAUGGGGCCUGAACUCAGGAUCUGGAGUUUUCUUGCAAGGGUGGCAUUCCAUGUGCUCUGCAGUUGCUGAUGAUCAGUCAGCUCAUCCAUGACCCGGGAGCUGAGCUGAAGGACACAGAGGAUCAUGAGACUGCACAAGAACCAGGACAGUGUAGAGUGGCCAUGCCCACAGGUGACACUGAGAUGUGACAGGACUGUCCCCCACACCAAACUGCCUCUAUCUUCAGGAAUCCAGCUGGACCCUCUUGGCAUUGACCUUCCCUCUUGGAAAGAAAGAGUGAGGAGGCUCACGGGACCCUCACCUGAGUAUCCAACUACUUUACCAGCCAGUAGCAUGUGAUUCUGCUCUAAUUGAACAUAACCUUGGAGUCUCUGGGAGAUGCUAGAGGAUCUGGGUGGGGAAGACUAAGGGAGUGGGUACCAUCCGCACACCCACAGGGAGCCAUCCUCUGUAUUGGCUGUGGACAGUCUAUGUUUAAGGUUACUCAUGCUCUUUGCCUGUAACCCCUCACUGGUUGCUCUGUAAGCCUAAUAAACGCCUUGGUUUCUCAGAGUGAACAUUGGUG